ACCCGUCUAGCUCAGUCGGUAGAGCGCUGGCCUUUUACGCCAGUGGUCGUGGGUUCGAUCCCCACGGGGGGUG
rnacentral:tRNA from 1 species